rnacentral:rRNA from 1 species
AACGCUAGCUACAGGCUUAACACAUGCAAGUCGAGGGGCAGCAUGGUCUUAGCUUGCUAAGGCCGAUGGCGACCGGCGCACGGGUGAGUAACACGUAUCCAACCUGCCGUCUACUCUUGGACAGCCUUCUGAAAGGAAGAUUAAUACAAGAUGUCAUCAUGAGUCCGCAUGUUCACAUGAUUAAAGGUAUUCCGGUAGACGAUGGGGAUGCGUUCCAUUAGAUAGUAGGCGGGGUAACGGCCCACCUAGUCUUCGAUGGAUAGGGGUUCUGAGAGGAAGGUCCCCCACAUUGGAACUGAGACACGGUCCAAACUCCUACGGGAGGCAGCAGUGAGGAAUAUUGGUCAAUGGGCGAGAGCCUGAACCAGCCAAGUAGCGUGAAGGAUGACUGCCCUAUGGGUUGUAAACUUCUUUUAUAAAGGAAUAAAGUCGGGUAUGGAUACCCGUUUGCAUGUACUUUAUGAAUAAGGAUCGGCUAACUCCGUGCCAGCAGCCGCGGUAAUACGGAGGAUCCGAGCGUUAUCCGGAUUUAUUGGGUUUAAAGGGAGCGUAGAUGGAUGUUUAAGUCAGUUGUGAAAGUUUGCGGCUCAACCGUAAAAUUGCAGUUGAUACUGGAUAUCUUGAGUGCAGUUGAGGCAGGCGGAAUUCGUGGUGUAGCGGUGAAAUGCUUAGAUAUCACGAAGAACUCCGAUUG